rnacentral:lncRNA from 1 species
CGGGGUGUUUUUGGGGUCGCUCACCUGGCCCUAUGUCACCUCCUCGGCCGUGUCCCCGGGCCCUUUCUGCUCGGUGCCCCCCGGCGGCGAUUUUGGGGCCUCGGGUUCGGCUUUUUGGGGUGCGCUGGGUUCCUUUGGGGCCUCGGCUUUUUGGGGUGCGCUGGGUUCCUUUGGGGCCUCGGCUUUGGGUUUUUGGGGUUCGCUGGGUUCCUGGGGUGCCUCGGGGGGGCUGGGGCCCUGCGGGGCGACAACGGGGGGCCCCUGAGGUUUCUGGGGUCCCCCCACGGUUUUUGGGGUCUCUCCGAGGUUUUUGGGGUUUUUAUGGUUUUGGGGACUCCCACAGUUUUGGGGUUUCACUCCUGGAUUUUUAGGACCCCUCCCCCGUGGUUUUUCGGAUUUCUGAGGUUUUUUGGGACUCGGAUGUUUCUUUGGGAACUCUCCUUGGUUUUGGGGAACUCUCCUCGUUUUUGGGGACUCUCCCCGUUUUUGGGGCUCCCGCUGUUUUUGGGAUUUCCUGUGGUUUUAUUUUGGGACUCCCCACAGUUUUUUGGGAUUCCCGUGGGUUUUUUAGGGACCCCCUCCCCCAUUUUUUGGGCUCCCUCUUGGUUUUUUGGGGCUCCCGUGGCUUUUGGGAUUCCUGCAGUUUUUUAGGACUCCUGCAGGGUUUUUUGGCGAUUCCUGCCAUUUUUAGGAUUUACCGUGGUUUUUUGGGAUUCUCUCAGUUUUGGGGAUUCCCGGGGGUUUUUGGGGUCCCUCACGGAUUUUGGGGUCCCUUGCAGGGUUUUGGGCUCCCCCCUGUGUUUUUGGGGUCCCUCAGGGGUUUUUGGGGUCCCUGUCCCGGUUUUUCGGGUCCCUCUCCGUGUUUUUGGGGUCCCCCCGGGGAUUUUGGGGUCCCUGUCAGGGUUUUUGGUGUCCCUCUCAGUUUUUGGGGUCCCUGUCGGUGUUUUGGGGUCCGGACCUGGUCGUUGCCCUCGGGGGGGCUCCUGCACACGAUGUCGCUGAACGGCGGCGCCUCCGCCGGGCUCUCCUCGGGCGGCGCCGUGGGCGUGGCGGCUGCGGGGGAAAUGGGGGAAAAACACGGGAAAAUGGGAAAAUGCGAAAAUGGAAAAAAACCCAGGGAAAAUGGGGAAACCCCAGGGAAAAUGAGGAAA